rnacentral:SRP_RNA from 1 species
UGGGAGUUCGGUGGUGGGCAGAUGGCUCGGUAACCCGGUCAGAUCCGGAAGGAAGCAGCCGUAACGAGGCUUUUCUGGGUUGCUGCCGGCUCCUUUUU